CGCCCGUUGUGGUCGGUGUACAGGUGGUGCUGGUUGUCGUCAGCUCGUGUCGUGAGAUGUUGGGUUAAGUCCCGCAACGAGCGCAACCCUCGUUCUAUGUUGCCAGCGGGUUAUGCCGGGGACUCAUAGGAGACUGCCGGGGUCAACUCGGAGGAAGGUGGGGAUGACGUCAAAUCUCAUGCCCCUUAUGUCUUGGGCUUCACGCAUGCUACAAUGGCCGGUACAAAGGGCUGCGAUACCGUAAGGUGGAGCGAAUCCCAAAAAGCCGGUCUCAGUUCGGAUUGAGGUCUGCAACUCGACCUCAUGAAGUCGGAGUCGCUAGUAAUCGCAGAUCAGCAACGCUGCGGUGAAUACGUUCCCGGGCCUUGUACACACCGCCCGUCAAGUCAUGAAAGUCGGUAACACCCGA
rnacentral:rRNA from 1 species